rnacentral:lncRNA from 1 species
AAUUUAAUUCAAUAAGUCCCAAAUAAUCCAAACACACAUUUUGUCUAAAAAAACAAAACUAAGUAAUUACAGUGAAAAAUUGCUACAGAUGGAAAUAGGUUCAUAAUGACCAAAAUCAAGCAAUUAGGAUGAAAUCACUUUGGACUUAGUCACAAAAAAUAGGUUGUCUUGAAGCUUGGAGCAGCCACCUUCCAUUCCAUCAGGUCAUCUCAGAGCUAUAACCUGCAGAGAAAAAUAGCUUAUUUAAAAAGCACUUUUCAAAAGUACUUAGAGAACUGAAAAACAACUAAAUAAAUCAUUCAAAUUAAAAAUUUGUCCAUAAGGUUAAUCUAAACAUCCAAAAAGCACUUUUAACAUUUACUUAAAACAGAACAAACCAAAUCCCACAUAAUCUGGGAUGAGAAAUUCGAAAAAAGGAAGAAGUUUUUCUUUAAGACUUAAGCAAUAUUUCAUAAAUGGGGAAGAGAGGUUAACAAAUAUAUACAUAUCACAGUAAGAGAUUUUCUCAAAAAAAACACAGCAAGAACAAAAACACAGCAAAACAAUUCUUCUCAAAAACCUUUAACCAGAACACAACAAAAAACGAUUUGCAUUGAGAACAUCCAACAGAGAAAAUUCUUUAAAAAAAUAGCCAGCACAUAAAAAAAAACUCAACUCCUAAGGUUAUUGAGUUUUCAUACCGAAUCUCAAUAAACUUUGAGCUAAAGCACCAGCUACUCGCAUAUUACCGUCAAAGGUAGCCACAACCAAGAUUCGAACAGAGGGAAAAGCAGGCCAAAGGAAAGCAGAACGCACGAAAGACAACUUACCUGGACUUGUUUUCUCUUCUUCGCCGUUGCGUUAAAGCGGUAGAUCCUUGCCCCUUCACUUUUAUUCUUGGUUUAUCGUAUACAUUCGUAACUCACAAUCUAUGUAUCGCUCGCUCUUUGUCGUGUGUCGCUUGCUGUAUGAUGAUUAUUUGUUUUUCCUUUACCAUGUUUUUGCUUUGAAAUACGAUUUUGCAUUAAGACUGUUGAGCGACUGGAUCUGUGGAUUAUAGUACAGGUUGAUUCGAAGUUUAGUCUUAUGGUCCAAAUUUAUGGUGUGUGCAUGAACCAGUUUGAGGGUUGCUGUUUUGGGGUUGUUGGUGCGAGGAAGAUAAGAAAAGGCAGAGAGUGACCGCCAAAGAGUAGAAAAGGGGAAAGGAUUCUGAAUGAUUUCCUUCUACGUGCAGACUUCGUUUUUAUUUCCUUAUUUAAAAAUAGUUUUUAAGAGCAUUUAAUACCGGUCCUUUCCUCACUGCCCAAGGCCAACUGCCACUUCGUUUCCCACCCUCAUAAUUAUUCUCACUCUUU